rnacentral:lncRNA from 1 species
CAGGGGCCCAGCUUGGCCCCAGGUUCGAGCAGGGGAGGGGGCUUGGGGGCAGCAAGGCUCCCAGCUGCCGGCAGGUGAAGAGAGGCUUUAGGGAAGGGGGCAUCUGUGAUGGGCCUGGACUGGCCCAGAGGGAUUUGGGAGGUGAAACGGGUGUGCAGCUCCAUGGCACCUGGGGCAAAUCAGGGAGCGGGCCAUCAGAGACAUUCUUUGGGUGCAGGAGGUAAAUAAGAGGCAAGACAGAAGGCAGGUUAUGGUCAGGAGUGAGGGUCCUGAAAGGCAAAAGGACAACAGCAGAGCGAUAGGGUGUGCCGGCCUCGGUGUGGGGGUAGGCGGAGAGGAGACUGAGGCCAGGAGGACAGCACAGAUCCUGGCACAGUGACCCUGGUAAGUCUGGAAGGGGCUGGACUAGAUAACACUGCCUCACCAAUCUAUCCAUCAUCCAUUCACCAUCCAUCAUCCGUCCAUCCACCAUCCAUCCAUCCAUCCAUCCAUCCAUUAUCCAUCCAUCCAUCCAUCCAUCAUCCAUCCAUCCAUCAUCCCUCCAACCAUCAUCCUCCAUCCAUCAUCCCUCCAUCCAUCAUCCCUCCAUCCAUCAUCCAUCCAUCAUCCAUCCAUCCCUCCAUCCAUCAUCCAUCCAUCAUCCCUCCAUCCAGCAUCCCUCCAUCCAGCAUCCCUCCAUCCAGCAUCCCUCCAUCCAUCCAUCCAUCCAUCAUCCCUCCCUCCAUCAUCCAUCCAUCCAUCCAUCCAUCAUCCAUCCAUCAUCCAUCAUCAUCCAUCCAUCAUCCCUCCAUCCAUCAUCCCUCCCUCCAUCCAUCCAUCAUCCCUCCAUCCAUCAUCCCUCCAUCCAUCAUCCCUCCAUCCAUCAUCCAUCCAUCAUCCAUCCAUCCCUCCAUCCAUCAUCCCUCCAUCCAUCAUCCAUCCAUCCAUCCAUCCAUCAUCCCUCCAUCCAUCAUCCCUCCAUCCAUCAUCCCUCCAUCCAUCAUCCAUCCAUCAUCCAUCCAUCCCUCCAUCCAUCAUCCCUCCAUCCAUCAUCCCUCCAUCCAUCAUCCCUCCAUCCAUCCAUCCAUCCCUCAUCCAUCAUCCAUCCAUCCAUCAUCCCUCCAUCCAUCAUCCCUCCAUCCAUCAUCCCUCCAUCCAUCAUCCCUUCCAUCCAUCCAUCCCUCCAUCCAUCUACUCACCAUCUAGCC